rnacentral:rRNA from 1 species
AACGAACGUUAGCGGCGCGCUUAACACAUGCAAGUCGCACGAGAAAGGGCUUCGGCCCCGGUAAAGUGGCGCACGGGUGAGUAACACGUGGGUAAUCUUCCCUCGAGCGGGGGAUAACAUUCCGAAAGGAGUGCUAAUACCGCAUAAGACCACGGCUUCGAAAGAAGCUGAGGUCAAAGCUGGCCUCUAUAUAUAAGCUAGCAUUUGAGGAUGAGCCCGCGGCCCAUCAGGUAGUUGGUAGGGUAACGGCCUACCAAGCCUAAGACGGGUAGCUGGUCUGAGAGGAUGAUCAGCCACACUGGAACUGAGACACGGUCCAGACUCCUACGGGAGGCAGCAGUGGGGAAUCUUGCGCAAUGGGCGAAAGCCUGACGCAGCGACGCCGCGUGAGUGAUGAAGGCCUCGGUUGUAAG